AUUGAACGCUGGCGGCAUGCUUUACACAUGCAAUUCGAACGGCAGCGCGGGCUUCGGCCUGGCGGCGAGUGGCGAACGGGUGGGUAAUGCAUCGGAACGUGCCCAGUAGUGGGGGAUAGCCCGGCGAAAGCCGGAUUAAUACCGCAUACGCCCUGAGGGUGAAAGCGGGGGACCGAAAGGCCUCGCGCUAUUGGAGCGGCCGAUGUCGGAUUAGCUAGUUGGUGGGGUAAAGGCUUACCAAGGCGACGAUCCGUAGCUGGUCUGAGAGGACGACCAGCCACACUGGGACUGAGACACGGCCCAGACUCCUACGGGAGGCAGCAGUGGGGAAUUUUGGACAAUGGGGGCAACCCUGAUCCAGCCAUGCCGCGUGCGGGAAGAAGGCCUUCGGGUUGUAAACCGCUUUUGUUCGGGAAGAAAUCCUCUGGGCUAAUACCCCGGGGGGAUGACGGUACCGGAAGAAUAAGCACCGGCUAACUACGUG
rnacentral:rRNA from 1 species